rnacentral:lncRNA from 1 species
UUCCCUUACCUUUUCCAUUUUUCGUUCAAGAUUAAGAAAGAAACAAAAGCAGCCUUCCAUUUCAUUCCAAAAGAAGGAAAUAAAAUCAUGGAGAUACUAGUAACUAUAGUUAUCAAAAGAGAAGUUUCAAUAGGAGCAGGAGCUGGGUUAACUGAAGAGAGAGAGAGCUUUGAUUUUUAGACAACCAAAUCAGGUAUAAUUGAUGCUAUAUAUAUAAUUGUUAUUAAAUAAGGAGUUUAGUAUGUAUAAUCGUUGCUAUGAUACUCUGUUUGGUUGGAAAAUUGUGUAUAAGAAUGAAAAAUUCUGGCUAAACUUUGCUUAAACAAUUUUGAAAUCUGAAGUUUUAAAUUUACGCCUUUAUGUUGUUUGAUAAAAUGCCUCAUAGAGGCUAAAGUGUUUACAACUAAUAAUUUACAAAUGCUUGAAACCAAGUUAUGUGCAUAUAUGUAUUAGAAGAUAACUCACAUGAAGGUUUAAUUUGAUUAUCCAGACUGCGUUUCAUAUUACCAAGGUCUCUAGUGAGUAUUUUAUCAAGGUCAGUGGGUGAAAACCCAUAUGAAUUGAGGUAAUCAAAUUUGGGUUUACGUGUGUUGUCUGGAUGGAAAGAUCUGUACUGGGCUAUUUCUUUCUUCUUUUUUUUUUUUUGCUAAAUUUAAACUGUAUUGAAAGAAAGGAAAUUACAAAAAUCAUGGGUAACCCCAAUCAGAGAAUAGCAUAGACAUCAUACGACAAGCCAUAUAAAGUCAUGACUAUAGAAUACCGCAGGCUGAAAGCCUAACAACACUAACAAUUUUACUGUUAGUACAAACCAUAACCAAAACAUACAAUUGCUUAAACAAGCUGACCAUUACAGACCCAAAGAAAACUAGUAUCUUUAACAAAGUCUAAACAGCCACCCGAUUGCAUCAAAGAAGCCACUCUUCGGCAGAAAUGACCAACCUCAUUUAUACAGCUUCAUGACAUAGAUAAAAUCGAGCAGCAGCAGAGGGCAUUCUAUAGAUCCCCAGGCACCCAUCCAGAUCAGACAACAACUUCCCUACCAAAUAGCAUUAAGAGGAUCCACUGUUUCUCUCCCCUAUGGCCCCAAAUAUAGCUGCAACCGCAAAACUCAGCAUCCACUGUCUGUCUAUAGUCCUUUCUAGCCCACAGAGGAGCAUCAGCCGAGUAGAUUUAGCUACAGCUGCUCGAAAUCUCCAUUCUGUAGCAGCCAUCAGAAUCAUUUUAUAGCAGUGGCAGUAGGAUACCAGAGAACCCAAGAAUGGCCACGGCCUAGCAGGUCUGUAGCAGCAGAAGAUGGCCCCGACCCACAGCUGCUCGUCCUGUAGCAUCAGUAGUAGCAUCAGCAGACAAUUCCGAGCAGCACAACCACAUCAUUAGCAACACAACAAAACGGCACUAUGAGGUACCGAGCAUCUGCAUCUGCAGCGCAUGCGCAAUAGCAUUCAGAACUAGCAGCAAAACCCUGGAUUGGGCCCUGACGCAAUGGUUAGUAGCAUCAUUAGCAAUUCCGAUUGGGCCCUCCCAAGUUCUAACCAUCACUCGGUUAUUGAAUUCAGACAUCUCUUCUCUCCGGCCAUAGGCUGCAACCCCUCCAUAGAGGACUCGGUUCUAUGGGACAACACUAAUACCGUUGGGAAAGCAACUUCCUUCUUUUGGGGUUCCAUCCGAUCCUAUGGUAAUCUAGUGACAUGGGAUAAUCUGGUGUGGCACAAAUACCUCCCUCCUCGAUAUUAUUUCUUCUUAUGGCUUGCAUUCCAGAACGGGUUACGUACCAAGGAUCGGCUCUCAAAUUAUGGGCUCGUUGUAAACCAAACAUGCCUUUUAUGUAACUCCCACAAUGAGACUUUCGACCAUCUUUUCUUCAACUGCCCUUUCUCCUACAACAUGCUCUUUUCUGUUCUCAGGAACUGUGGGUGGAAGGGAUCCUCAAGGAGUUGGAACCCUAUCACUUCUUUCCUCAUUGCCCAACCAAACAGCUCCGUUCAACAAGGUAUUCUUCUCCUAGGUUUUGCCACGGUUGCUUACCAUAUUUGGCAGGAAAGAAACGCUAGGAUACAUGAUAAAGGUCCCAUGCCGGUUAGGACUGUCACCCGUAAUGUUAUGCAGAUUUUGAAAUGCAAGCUCCACUCCAUUCGUAGAUUCCAAAAAGUGAAAGACAGUCCAUGGUUUUCUAAUCUAGCCCUCUAGAGACCUGUCUAUUUCAGGUUUGCCACUGUCGCUGAGCUGAUGGGCUAUUUCUUAAAUUUGGGUUUCAAUGAAGCCAUAGAUUUUGAAGAGAGAGAAAAUAGAUUCAUUUUGUGUCUCAGUAAUUUCAUAUCUGAAAAAUAUUUUUGAUUUAAAGGACAUAAUUGGGGUGAUUUUAAAGAACUAAUAGUAGUUUUUUUAGCAAAAUCUUUUGUAUAAAAAACUAAGCAUCAUGAUUUAACAAAAGGGGUUGUAUGAGAUUUCAGAAAUUACCAACCUUUUAAGUUCCUUUUGAAUCUCUGAGUCUCUAUAGAACGAACGAACUGAACAUUAGUGAAUUAUUAAAAAAAAUGAGAAUAUACACAUACAACAUUUCGUUUUUGGAAAACAUAGAAGGAUUGUUUUUGAUGUUGGAUUUUUAGAGCUAAGUAUUUUGUGGGCUAUAUAUGACCACUAUCAUGAUGUUUCUCUUUUCUAUUUAAAAAUCAUACGGAGGCAUUUGGUGCACGUGAGAACUUGUGAAAACUUAGUAAACAAGAAAAAUCGAGGCAAUAAUGCUAUUCACAGUGGAGGGCCAAAACCAUUUGUUGUUGAGGAUUGUGAUCUUGUGAGAAGAAGCCUAAGAUUUUCAGCAACUUGGAUCUUUUAAUUUCCAGCUGCUUCUUCAUGUUCUUCACCUAUGCAAACAUAAUAAAAUUAAGUGCCAGAAAAAUUAAGCUGUAUUUAGGAUUUUUUACACAAACCAGGGAAACAAGUAUAUAGCUACAUACUCUUUUCCUCAGUUUGCUGUAUUAAAGAGAGCAAUUCGAUAUGCAUUUGAACAACUAAAACGUCGUAUUUUCGAUGUGAACUCUUGCAACAUGCUAAUUCUGCAAGUAACAUUUCUGAUUGCCCUUUCUUUAAACCAAGAACUUAUAACAUAGGCACAAUCAUUUAAAGAAAAUAACAUGUCUUAAAUGCAAUAUUGGUAGGUUUAGCCUUUUUUGCUCUUCUAAAUGUAAAAGAUGUUGGAAUCCAUGGAAGACAGUGGAAUACUUGCACAAAAUUUUAAAGUAGUCUCAGAUGACAUAGAAAAAUUCACUUCUUCACAACGAAAUUCAUCUGCUGGCUUUCUUUUGGAAGCUUCUUUCUUCUUGUGUGUUGUAGGCCUUCGGUAAUUCUUUUCUCUUUCAUUAGAAACCCUGAAAGAACCUUACAUUUCUUUUUAUCAAUUUUCUCUAUAAAGGCUCCCCUCUUCCUAUUGCCCAUCAACGCCUAAUCAAGUUCAGUAUCUUUUCUUCAAAUUCGUAACUUAGUAUUUUUUUUUGUUCUUUUCUCACUGCCCUUCAUUAUUGGAGGCUUGUGUUUAGAUUUUAAAUCACUUUUCCUGCCUGAAUUGUUCACUUUGGUGAUUCUUCUCACUAAAUCUACUGAUGCAACAUAAAAUUUAAAGUUUGAAAUGCAAUAGAUGGAAAUGUUAUAUCUGAGCAGACCUUGCCUGAAUUAGUUGGCUUUAUAACCAAAGCACAUGCAUAUUGUGUGCUCUUUUUAGAUUUCUUCACAUUAAGGUCAUUCUUCCCAUUUGCCUUUGCAGCAUGCAUAAGGAUCCCAGUAGGUUGACAACCUCUCCUCUUCUUACAUUACCCAAUAAUAUACUCCUCAAAAACAUCAAAAAUUACUAAAUUAAGAAAUUCUUGAAAUAGGUCUUCUCUGAUUUAAAACAAACAAACACUUACCUGCAAUCUACUUCCUUUGUUGUAAUCAGGGUUAGUUGGGAGUUCUGUUUUCCCUUUGUUCAUAUUAGCAUGUUUUAAUUUCUUAUCAUUUGUUGCUAUAUUUUUCAUUGGUGUUGAAUGGAUGAAAAUAUGAUACCAUCUCUUUUCAUCUCUGAUCACGAUAGGAGUAAUUCAAUAUGUUGUGUUGUGGGGUUUCUUUGCUUUUGUUUGGGGUUUUGCGAAGGAUCUAUCAAUUUUGGUCUCCUGACCCGGUCAAAACAUAUGGGGCCUUUUUCGGCUGUUUAGUUCUUAAUUUGGGGAUUUGCUCCCUACUAAUUUUCGAAGCUUUAUUUUUUUAUUCCCUCUAUUAAAUCAGUUUGGGUGUGUUUUGAUUCAUUUAUUCAAAUGGUUUUUGAUUUAGUUCAAUUGGAUUUAUCUGUGUUCCGGUGUAAUAGCCGGUGUUUAUUUUUAGAAAUCAUAUUUAUCAUUGUUGAGUUCAGGAUCUGAUUUGAUUUUCAGGGAGAUCCAAUUGAAGGUUAGAAAAUCACACAUCAGAAAAAGCGAACAAACGAGUGGGUACAACCUGAAAAUGAAUCUACAUACGUAAGUUAUACAAACCUUACUUUGUUAACCACCAGCAUUUAGUGCAGCGGUUAAGGAUUGAUUGGGGGCGAGCCGUAAACCCGGAUGUCCUCAGUUCGAACCCCGCUAGCAACAAGUGUUAAGCCAGAAAUGGUCAUGGUGGCCACGGUACCCCCGGUACAAGUCGGGUAGCAAACCGCUCUGGUAUCGGGCUCGGGGGAUUAGUCGGCCUGCGGAUCGGAAACCCACGGUUAACAAAAAAAAAACCUUACUUUGUUUUUAAAUUUGGGAUUACCUUUGAAUUAUUUGCAUUUGUUGUUAAUUUCACACAAUGAAAUGAAAUCACUUGAGAUUGAAUUCAUCUAUGAGAUGGAAGUAGAAUCUGGAAAUGGUGUACUGAUAAAAGGGAGAUUAUAACUCUAGUGUUGGGCAAGAAGGUAGGGAGAUUACUUGAUUUUGGAUUUUUUCCUUGAGCAGAGAAUUCUUCAUCCAUCGAAAAAGAGAAAAUUGCAUUGGCAGAUUGACAAUCUUGAGAAUAUAAUGAACAAGUUGGUCAACAAUCUAGAUUUUUUUCUAUUGAUUCAAGGUAACACUAGCUUAGGGACAAAAAGAACUGAAAACAACUCUUGAUCAUUAUACAUGGACAUUCAAACUGUUGAACUUUCUUGUGGACACUACAAAAAUUUGGAUAUUCAUGUUAAACUUUAUGUUAGACUUGGAAAAUCAUUAACUUAAAUUACAAUGGAUGAUAUUUGAAUUUUGAUUUUCCUAUUUUGGUUAAAUAUGAUGGAAAGUUAAAAUUUAAUUAAUUUAUUAUCACGGUUGGUGUUUUUCUAUUGUUACAGUCCUUAACUUAUUUGAGGCAAAAUAUUAAUUGGGUAAACAACUCUUUUAAUAUAAUGUUUAAGAAUGAAUCAGGUAUGUUGGAUACAUUGAAGAAGCUCUUUCAGCUUUAUAUCAAGUAGUAAUAUAAUUUUCUUAGUUCCAAAAGUUUUCAUAAUAUCACAAAACGCAUUCCAUGCUUGUUUGAAAUUAUCUCAUUGAUUAGAAUAACAAUACAAUUUAGCUAUAAUUUCAAGCCUAAUUUCACGAAAUAUUAUCCAUCAACAUUUCAAGAUAAUAAAUCUCUAUAACAAGAAUAGAUUCAAGAGUGAGUAUGCCAGCAUCGAAUGUAAGACCCCAACUUUUUAUGAAUAAAGAUUUAAUUUUUUUCUAAAUAUUAUUUUGAAUAAUAAGGUGUUGAUUUGAUAUAAUGCUAUAGUUAUGGGUGAUAUGUGCAAAUUUACAAAGUAAGCAAGUUGUCAUUAAAUAUUCGUUUUGUCGGGGAAUAUUCUUUUUGUCGGGGAAUAUCCGUACAAUGAUGCAAUCAUCGGUGGACAACAUAACAGAAUAACUAUCCGUGGUUGCACAGUAGCAUACGGUAGCACAGUAUCUCUGAUUAUUGAUUCUUAGGUAAGAAGUCACUCAAUAAUUGAUACAGUAAAAAUUGGACAGUCUUUCAUAUUAUUGAUGCAAUAAUUGCUACAAUUAUAAUUAAUUAGUAUUUUACAUUAUUGAUUCAAUAAUUGUCGUGACAUGGUAACUCAUAUUAUUGAAAUGAUAUUAUUAGAUAGCAUUAUUGAUAAUGUCUAGAAAGUUAUGUCGAGGAAAGAGGUUAGGUUAUAUAAUUGCGCGCCAGUAUGGAAGAAUCCUUAUCGGAAAGUCCACUCUUUCCUUGGAAUGAUCUGGUUGUCAGUAUUGUGAAUCUAUAAUAUUAAUUAGAAAUAAUUAUUGAAGAAUUGUAAAUAAUUGAUGAUAUGGUAAGUAAAUAUUUCCUCAAUUUUGUUAUAAAUGGAAGAAUUUUAGAAUGAGACAUUUGUCGAAAGUUUGACAUAUUUUUCUAUAAGACUAUAAUUAUCUUCUCCAAUAAAAUAUUCAUUCAAAUAUAUUAUUAUAAUAUUACAUUAUCAUAGUAUAAUGUGAUAAUAUAAUAGUAAUUUAAAUGGUAAAUAUUAUUAUAUAUUUUUUGGCAUGUGAAUUAAAUUGAGUGAAGAUGAUCAAAUUGAAUUUGAAUUAGUUUUCAAAUUGAAUUUGAAUUCUUUUAUUUCAAAUAAACAUGUGAAUAAAUGUGGGAAUUCUCAUUUUAAGUUUUAACUCUCCUUUUUCAAAUAGGUGUGCUGCAUUUUCAAAACUAAUGUGCAUAUGUGUAAAUUUUGUUAAUUCUAGUGUGCUAGCAUUUUCCUAUAAAUAGGUUGCUUAGGUAAACAAUGAAACUCACACUAGCAUAAAAAAAUUCUCUCUAUAAUAUUGAGUGUAUUUCUUGUGAGUAUAAGGAUAUUUUUAGUGUUGAUAACAGUGCAAGAUUUCCUCAGCAUAAUCUCCGUUAUUCCAGUCAGAACUACUUUUCUACUAAGGUAAAGGAUGUUAUUUUCUUUCAAUACUCGUAAAUGAUAUUAUUUCCUUCCAUACUCGUAAGGGAUAUCAUUUUUAUUCAUACUCCAUGUUAUGUAAGUGACAUUAUUUCAUUUCAUAUUCCUAAAUUUAAACUUACUAUGGUAAGUAUUGCUUCUAACUUACCAAAAAAAAAAAGUAUUGCUUCUAUAAUUCCUGAAAUGAUUAGAAAUUCAUUAAGAUUUGCGCUUCAUCUAAUAUCAUUUCACUGGAAUAUUGGUCUAAAGAUUCUUAUUAUAUUUUAAUCUUUUAAUGUUGGGGUACUAUUCAUGGGUACUAUUCAUAUGGUACUAUUCAUGAGUACUGUUCACAACAAAAUUUAAUUUCUUUUCUGUCCAAAUUAUUUUUGAUACAUGAAUAUCAUUAUUGAAUUUUACUCCACAAUUAGUUAUCAUGUUGACAAUUUGGACUUUCUUGAACUUUGGAUAAAUUAAAUUAUAAAUCUUUAAUAUUUAUCAUUGAUCUCACUUGAUUGAUUCUUUAUAUCAUUGUCAUCAUCCUCAUGCUUAUAUUAUGUUAAAAGUCAUCUUUGGCCCGUAGUGCAAAGAUGGACUGUUGAUUGGUAUGAUUAUGACCAAGAUUUGUGUAUUGGUAUAAUCAUAACUUUUAAUGUUACAGAUAAAAGUUUGUGGUGAAAGUCCUCUUUGGCUCGAAGUGCAUAGAUGGACAGGUGUUUGACAUGAUUAUGACCAUUGGUGAUACAAACGAUUAUCUUUGGCCUGUACUGCAUAGAUAACUCUUUGAUUGGAAAUAAUUAUUGAUUGGUGUUGCAGGGAUAAAAUAUUGAUGAUGAACUUUUAAAUUAUAGAAGAUAGUAUACAUCAUGCUCUACUUGACUCUUCUAAUGGAUUGUUGUUUCCGCUGCAGUUGUUGAUCUAAAACUUGUUGUCUAUUGUAUUCUAUCAGAUUUUUCCCUGUUGAGGACUAAGGAUAAUUUGUUCUACAUUAUCUUAGUCAUAAUAUUCUUUACUUGGCUAGUUGAGCUCACCCUUUUUCUUUUGGUUCCAUUGUUCUUCCCAGGAGGUGAGAAUAUAGCUGGGACUAGUCGGGGAUUGGAGUAAUGGUUCAAGAUGGUUACUAUAGGAGUCCUCACUAUUUUGUAAAAAAGUGUAACAAUAAUUAUAAUGAGGACUUUAUUUGAGUUUGGAUAUUGUCUACAAGAUAAUAUUUGUAUUAAAACUCACAUCUUAUACUGUCAUAUUUUACUUGACAAUUAAUAGUUGUAUAAUUGAAGUUUGUAUUUGAAUUAUGUACCAUGUAUUUGGCGACUCAGAAUGGGUUGUGUGGACCUAUUUUGGGGGCGUCACAGUUGGUAUCAGAGCUUAGGGAUAUGAUCUCUGGUGGAGAUCUGGGAUUAUAACUAGGAGGGGAUAGACGAGUAAAUUCUUCGCUAGUGUGUCCUACCUAAGCUUAUUUGUUAUUUAAUUGGUCGGUCAAAAUAUAUGGAUAAUAUCUGGAA